rnacentral:rRNA from 1 species
UAGGGAAUCUUCCACAAUGGGCGCAAGCCUGAUGGAGCAACACCGCGUGAGUGAAGAAGGGUUUCGGCUCGUAAAGCUCUGUUGUUGGAGAAGAACGUGCGUGAGAGUAACUGUUCACGCAGUGACGGUAUCCAACCAGAAAGUCACGGCUAACUACGUGCCAC